rnacentral:rRNA from 1 species
CAGCAGCCGCGGUAAAACGGAGGGUGCAAGCGUUAAUCGGAAUUACUGGGCGUAAAGCGCACGCAGGCGGUUAUAUAAGACAGAUGUGAAAUCCCCGGGCUCAACCUGGGAACUGCAUUUGUGACUGUAUAGCUAGAGUACGGCAGAGGGGGAUGGAAUUCCGCGUGUAGCAGUGAAAUGCGUAGAUAUGCGGAGGAACACCGAUGGCGAAGGCAAUCCCCUGGGCCUGUACUGACGCUCAUGCACGAAAGCGUGGGGAGCAAACAGGAUUAGAUACCCCCGUAGUCCCUGUCUCUUAUAC